rnacentral:tRNA from 1 species
CUGGGGCUAUAGCUCAGUUGGUUGAGUGCUUGCCUUGCAUGCAAGAGGCCCUGGGUUUGAUCCCCAGCACAAGA